rnacentral:rRNA from 1 species
UACGUAGGGUGCGAGCGUUGUCCGGAAUUAUUGGGCGUAAAGAGCUCGUAGGUGGCGUGUCGCGUCUGCCGUGAAAGCCCAUGGCUUAACUGUGGGUCUGCGGUGGAUACGGGCAGGCUAGAGGCUGGUAGGGGCAAGCGGAAUUCCUGGUGUAGCGGUGAAAUGCGUAGAUAUCAGGAGGAAUACCGGAGGCGAAGGCGGAUAGCUGGGCCAACACUGACGCUGAGACCCGAAAGCGUGGGGAUCAAACAGG